GGUGAGGUGACCGAGUGGUUGAAGGUGCUCGCCUGGAACGCGGGUGUGGUGAAAGCUACCGAGGGUUCGAAUCCCUCUCUCACCGCCA
rnacentral:tRNA from 1 species